UACGUAGGGGGCAAGCGUUGUCCGGAAUCACUGGGCGUAAAGCGCGCGCAGGCGGCUAUCUACGUCCGGGGUGAAAGCCCAGAGCUCAACUCUGGGACUGCCUUGGAUACGGGAUAGCUUGAGGAUCGGAGAGGCAAGGGGAAUUCCACGUGUAGCGGUGAAAUGCGUAGAGAUGUGGAGGAACACCGAUGGCGAAGGCAGCCUCCUGGGCCAGCACUGACGCUCAUGCACGAAAGCGUGGGGAGCAAACAGG
rnacentral:rRNA from 1 species